rnacentral:antisense_RNA from 1 species
CGCGCGGUGAACGCCCACUCGCCGGCCUCGGUCCCCACCGUCUGGCCGCCGAGGUACCCGCCGUCGGCGACCGUGCCGAGCCGGGUCUCCUCGCCGUACUUGCCGGUGCCCACCUUCUGCACCUUGCCGUGCGCGAUCAGAUAGACGUGAUCGGCGGGCUGUCCCGCCCGCGCCAUCUCCUCGCCGGGCUGGAACUCGCGCUGCUGGAACCGCUCGGCGAGCGCCCGCAGCGCCUCGGCGUCGUCGAGGCCGCGCAACAGCGGCAGCUCGGCGAGCUCCGCGGGGACGACCCGGACGUCGGCGCCCUCCUGUACGAAGGUCACCCGCCCGUCGCCGACCGCGUACACCAGGCGCCGGUUGACCCGGUAGGAACCGCCGCUCACCUCCACCCAGGGCAGUGUCCGCAGGAGCCAGCGCGAGCUGAUGCCCUGCAUCUGCGGGACGGUCUUGGUCGUGGUCGACAGAUUCCGCGCGGCCGCGAUGCCGAGGCUCAACUGCGUCUGG